GACGAACGCUGGCGGCGUGCUUAACACAUGCAAGUCGAACGGAAAGGCCCUGCGUUUGUGGGGUGCUCGUGUGGCGAACGGGUGAGUAACACGUGUGUAACCUGCCCUUGUCUUUGGGAUAACUUCAGGAAACUGGGGCUAAUAUCGGAUAGGAGCUCCUGCUGCGUGGUGGGGGUUGGAAAGUUUCGGCGGUUGGGGAUGGACUCGCGGCUUAUCAGCUUGUUGGUGGGGUAGUGGCUUACCAAGGCUUUGACGGGUAGCCGGCCUGAGAGGGUGAACGGCCACAUUGGGACUGAGAUACGGCGCAGACUCCUACGGGAGGCAGCAGUGGGGAAUAUUGCAGAAUGGGGGGAAGCCAGAUGCAGCAGCGCCGCGUGCGGGAUGACGGGCUUCGGGUUGUAAACCAAUGUCGCAGGUGACAAAGCGUGAGUGACGGUAAUGGAUAAGGAAGCAACGGCUAACUACGUG
rnacentral:rRNA from 1 species